rnacentral:lncRNA from 1 species
UACAUUUUGGAAAAAUGAUUUCUAUAUAAUUAAUUUUUAGUUUGAAAAAUUAAUGUUGGUUAAAAAUUAUAGAGUGUUUGGCUGAGUCUAGCGAAAAAGUAAUUUUUCUGAAGUAAAUUUACAAAGCUGUUUAACAAAUUUUUUUCUAUUUGCAAAUAAUGAAUUUCAAUUUAAGAUUUUGAAUUUAAAAUCUUAAAUAGAAUUUUAAUUUUGAUAUUUGAAUUUAAAAUCUAAAUUUAAAAAUUUAAAUUAAAUAAUAAAUAUUUAGAAUUUUUAUUUUGAAAUUAAAAUUAAAAAUUUGAAAGUUAAAUUUAAAAUUUAAAAUCUAAAUUUUAAAAUUAAAAAUUUAAAAAUUUAAAUUAAAUAAUAAAUAUUUAGAAUUUUUAUUUUGAAAUUAAAAUUAAAAAUUUGAAAGUUAAAUUUAAAAUUUAGAACUUAAAAUCUACAUUUAAAUGGCGGAGUUGGAUCUUGAUUCUAGAAUAUAAAUCGGGACGAAGCUAGGAAUUAAGAUUCAAGGAGGCCAAGUUUUAGAUUUGGCAUAAAACAAAAAAUUUGACCUU